CCUACAGGAGGCAGCAGUGGGGAAUAUUGGGCAAUGGGCGCAAGCCUGACCCAGCAACGCCGCGUGAAGGAAGAAGGCCCUCGGGUUGUAAACUUCUUUUUUCAGGGACGAAGCAAGUGACGGUACCUGACGAAUAAGCCACGGCUAACUACGUGCCAGCAGCCGCGGUAAUACGGAGGUGGCAAGCGUUAUCCGGAUUUACUGGGUGUAAAGGGCGUGUAGGCGGGGAAGCAAGUCAGAUGUGAAAUUCCAGGGCUCAACCCUGGAACUGCAUUUGAAACUGUUUUUCUUGAGGGAUGGAGAGGCAGGCGGAAGUCCGUGUGUAGCGGUGAAAUGCGUAGAUAUACGGAGGAACACCAGUGGCGAAGGCGGCCUGCUGGACAUUAACUGACGCUGAGGCGCGAAAGCGUGGGGAGCAAACAGGAUUAGAUACCCCUGUAGUC
rnacentral:rRNA from 1 species